ACAUGUCCUUUAGAUUUAAAUUAUUAAUUAAAGGUCUAGCCUGCCCGGUGAAUAACUUAAACGGCCGCAGUAUUUUGACUGUGCGAAGGUAGCAUAAUCAUUUGUCUCUUAAUUGGAGGCUGGUAUGAAUGGUUGGACGAGGAAUUAACUUUCUUUAUUUAAAUUUAGUGAAUUUGAUUUUUUAGUCAAAAAGCUUAAAUGUUUUUGCAAGACGAGAAGACAGAU
rnacentral:rRNA from 1 species